rnacentral:rRNA from 1 species
UACGUAGGAUGCAAGCGUUGUCCGGAUUUAUUGGGGUUAAAGGGUGUGUAGGUGGCCUAUUAAGUUAGUGGUGAAAACGUUCGGCUUAACCGGAUACCCGCCAUUGAUACUGAUAGACUUGAGUGCGACAGAGGGUGUUGGAAUGUGUGGUGUAGCGGUGAAAUGCUUAGAUAUCACGCAGAACACCAAUUGCGAAGGCAGAUGCCUAUGUCGUAACUGACGCUGAGGCACGAAAGCGUGGGGAGCAAACAGG